rnacentral:pre_miRNA from 1 species
CGGACGGUAUCUGCGUCAAUAUUUCCUUGUUAGAAUAUAUUGCACAUUCACCGGCCUGA